rnacentral:rRNA from 1 species
GCCAGCAGCCGCGGUAAUACGUAGGGGGCGAGCGUUGUCCGGAUUUAUUGGGCGUAAAGGGCGUGUAGGCGGCCUGGUAAGUCAGGGGUGAAAACUCGAGGCUCAACCUCGAGACUGCCUCUGAAACUGCUGGACUUGAGUGCUCUAGAGGGUAGUGGAAUUGCCGGUGUAGCAGUGAAAUGCGUAGAGAUCGGCAGGAACACCAGUGGCGAAGGCGACUACCUGGGGAGUAACUGACGCUGAGGCGCGAAAGCUGGGGGAG